CAUGCUUUUCAAAUUACAUCAUUUUGUGCGAAAAAUUUUUAUAUAGAAACAAUUUUAGAAGAUCAAAUAAAUCCAUUUUUCAAAUUUUUAAUAAGUAAUACUUAAUUAAUCAUAUAUUAAUUACAUUUAUCAUUUUCCGCAUUGCUAAUCAGCUUUUGCAACAGCCUUUUUCGAACGCAGCCGACAUGUGACCCAAGUGCAGCAUCAAUUCCUGAUGUCUCCUGUUCAUAAUUGUGUGAUA
rnacentral:lncRNA from 1 species